rnacentral:rRNA from 1 species
CAGUCGCCACGGGAAAACGAAGGGGGCUAGCGUUGUUCGGAUUUACUGGGCGUAAAGGGCGCGUAGGCGGACUGAUAAGUCAGGGGUGAAAUCCCAAGGCUCAACCUUGGAACUGCCUUUGAUACUGUUUGUCUUGAGUUCGAGAGAGGUAAGUGGAACUGCGAGUGUAGAGGUGAAAUUCGUAGAUAUUCGCAAGAACACCAGUGGCGAAGGCGGCUUACUGGCUCGAUACUGACGCUGAGGCGCGAAAGCGUGGGGAGCAAACAGGAUUAGAUACCCCCGUAGUCCCUGUCUCUUAUAA